UACGAAGGGGGCUAGCGUUGUUCGGAAUUACUGGGCGUAAAGCGCGCGCAGGCGGUUCUCCAAGUCAGUGGUGAAAGCCCGGAGCUCAACUCCGGAAUUGCCAUUGAAACUGUUGAACUGGAGGACGAGAGAGGUGAGUGGAAUUCCCAGUGUAGAGGUGAAAUUCGUAGAUAUUGGGAAGAACACCGGUGGCGAAAGCGGCUCACUGGCUCGUUUCUGACGCUCAUGCGCGACAGCGUGGGGAUCAAACAGG
rnacentral:rRNA from 1 species